CAAAAGCGGCUGGAAAAGUGGUCCAGGUGCUGCCAUUCUGAGCUGCUUUCUCCUCAGUAACCCGUGUGCUCCCGGGAAGGAGAAGACCCCGAAGUCACACAAUUCAGGUAUCAUGAGAGUCUUCUUCCAUUCUCUCAGGAUCUCCUUGGUGGAGUAGGGACAGUUCCUGUCUCUGAAGUAAAGGGUCAAGAACUCCUGUAGCAGCCCUGGUUUUCCAUCGCUGAGCUCCAGCUCACAACUGGGAUAGAAGGUGAAGCUUCAGUUACACGAGGCUGGGAGCAGAGGGAAGAGGCCUGAGUUCUCUCUGCUUCCCGAGCUUCCAAGCAGCUUCAGGUGCCUGCCACAUGGACACGGCUGCUUCUGAUACCAUGCCUUCCUCAUCAGGAUGGACCUGGUCCUCUCAAACCAAAGUUCAAGUGCUGUGCUGCAGACUGGUCACCAGUUCUCCCUCUUCUGCCUGUUUACAUCUUGGAAUCUUGACCCCUUCCUUUGAUGGUGUUGGGAGAUGACCGGGCUGAGAUGAAUCUGUGAGGGUGAGACCUGAGACAGAAUUAGUGGCCUUACAAGAGGAAUAAGACAUCAGAGUUCCUACACGGUCUGCCCUCUUCAUGCCCUCUUGCCCAUCUGUGUGCUCCCUCCUAGUCUAUGGCUUCUUGCUGUCCUACAGCCCAAGCUGAUGAAGACAUGUGCAGGCCGAGGACUACAAGGUUGAAGGGUCUUUCUGAUGUCAUAAGUCAGGGAAUUGUUAUGAUUUGGAUGUGAAAUCCCCUCCCCCGCCACCAGCUCAUAGGCUUGAACACUGUUCAUAGCAGGAGAUAGGCUAGUGAAAGGGAGUCAGAGGCUGUAUCUGUUCCUUCCUGGUCCUGGUCCUCAGCACUCCCUGAGAGGUGUUGACAAUAGCCAUUCCACAGAGGUGGGGCAUCACAGGAAAAGGUUGUGACUACUAAUGCCAUCUGUCCCUCGGGAGAUGAUGCAGUGUUUCAGCGUGGCCUCCCUCUUAGAGAACUGCUGCCUGACAGGCGCACACACACACACACACA